rnacentral:lncRNA from 1 species
CUGCCCUGCAGUCCUGCUGGGGAAGGUGGUGGCGGGACCUCCCCAACUGCCUGCCACUUUCGCAUCGCUCUAGUUUAAAUUGCGACCUUCAAUUUCUCGCUUCUCAGGGACCACACCAAGUACUUUGCAUACAGUAUCCUCUUCAGUCCUCACUCUACUCGGUGAGCAACUCAUGCGCUCGUAGUUCACGUGCAGCCAUUUUUGUGGACAUGUUCCUGAUGGAUGAUGAGAACCUGUCGUGAAAUGGUGCACCAGGAGGAGAGAGGAGAGCCCGGAGUCCACACCUGCACCCUUUGCUUUGUGAAAUUCCAGACUGUUUCAUCCGCUCUACCUCAUCCUAAGAACUCCAGAUUCCACUUUUCUUAAUGACUUUCCCCUUAAAAGCCUACACAGUUGUCUUUGAAGAAGUUAACUUUGAAGAAGGAGAAAAAGAAUAGAUGAAUCAUUUGCAGGAAACAGGGGGAGAGACGUGUGGUUGGAACAGCAGAUGGCUGAGCGUGUGGGCACAUAGCUGUCUCUGUGGUUCCUUCCACCACCCUCUGGAAAUGAAUCCUUUGGAAGUGUACACUCAUUCCAGGGUGGGGGCUGCACCCGCUUUCAGGUACUAACAUGUAAAUCCACAUCCGCUAGGAUUCUUCUCAGACAUCAAAACUCCGGGAGGGUGGGAAGGCCAGGCUCAGGCCCAGAUUGGACGAUUUAUCCUCUCCUUGAAGUUCUGACAUUAAACUUUUGAAAGAUAAAGUGAUAAACUACUUUCAAUUAGUGGUAACAGAAGUUCUCAUGCUGCCUUCUUGCUCCUGCAGGAUAU